rnacentral:rRNA from 1 species
AAAUUGAAGAGUUUGAUCAUGGCUCAGAUUGAACGCUGGCGGCAGGCCUAACACAUGCAAGUCGAACGGUAACAGGAAGCAGCUUGCUGCUUCGCUGACGAGUGGCGGACGGGUGAGUAAUGUCUGGGAAACUGCCUGAUGGAGGGGGAUAACUACUGGAAACGGUAGCUAAUACCGCAUAACGUCGCAAGACCAAAGAGGGGGACCUUCGGGCCUCUUGCCAUCGGAUGUGCCCAGAUGGGAUUAGCUAGUAGGUGGGGUAACGGCUCACCUAGGCGACGAUCCCUAGCUGGUCUGAGAGGAUGACCAGCCACACUGGAACUGAGACACGGUCCAGACUCCUACGGGAGGCAGCAGUG